CAUGCAAGUCGAACGGAAAGGCCCUUCGGGGUACUCGAGUGGCGAACGGGUGAGUAACACGUGGGUGAUCUGCCCUGCACUUUGGGAUAAGCCUGGGAAACUGGGUCUAAUACCGGAUAGGACUACGCGAUGCAUGUCGUGUGGUGGAAAGCUUUUGCGGUGUGGGAUGGGCCCGCGGCCUAUCAGCUUGUUGGUGAGGUUAUGGCUUACCAAGGCGACGACGGGUAGCCGGCCUGAGAGGGUGACCGGCCACACUGGGACUGAGAUACGGCCCAGACUCCUACGGGAGGCAGCAGUGGGGAAUAUUGCACAAUGGGCGCAAGCCUGAUGCAGCGACGCCGCGUGAGGGAUGACGGCCUUCGGGUUGUAAACCUCUUUCAGUAGGGACGAAGCGCAAGUGACGGUACCUAUAGAAGAAGGACCGGCCAACUACGUGCCAGCAGCCGCGGUAAUACGUAGGGUCCGAGCGUUGUCCGGAAUUACUGGGCGUAAAGAGCUCGUAGGUGGUUUGUCGCGUUGUUCGUGAAAACUCCACA
rnacentral:rRNA from 1 species